GCUCGGCUAGCUCAGUCAGUAGAUCAUGAGACUCUUAAUCUCAAGGUCAUGGUUUCAUGCCCCAUGUUGGGUG
rnacentral:tRNA from 1 species